CCUACGGGAGGCAGCAGUGAGGAAUAUUGGUCAAUGGACGAGAGUCUGAACCAGCCAAGUAGCGUGAAGGAUGACUGCCCUAUGGGUUGUAAACUUCUUUUAUAAAGGAAUAAAACGAGGCACGUGUGCCUUUUUGCAUGUACUUUAUGAAUAAGGAUCGGCUAACUCCGUGCCAGCAGCCGCGGUAAUACGGAGGAUCCGAGCGUUAUCCGGAUUUAUUGGGUUUAAAGGGAGCGUAGAUGGGUUGUUAAGUCAGUUGUGAAAGUUUGCGGCUCAACCGUAAAAUUGCAAUUGAUACUGGCAGUCUUGAGUACAGUAGAGGUAGGCGGAAUUCGUGGUGUAGCGGUGAAAUGCUUAGAUAUCACGAAGAACCCCAAUUGCGAAGGCAGCUUACUAAACUGUGACUGACAUUGAUGCUCGAAAGUGUGGGUAGCAAACAGGAUUAGAUACCCGAGUAGUC
rnacentral:rRNA from 1 species